GAUGAACGCUAGCGGCAGGCCUAACACAUGCAAGUCGAGGGAGAAGCCCUUCGGGGCAGAAACCGGCGCACGGGUGCGUAACGCGUAUGCAACCUACCUUUCACAGGGGGAUAGCCCGAAGAAAUUUGGAUUAAUACCCCAUAAUAUUAUUGGGUGGCAUCAUUUGAUAAUUAAAAUUAUGAUGGUGAAAGAUGGGCAUGCGUCCUAUUAGCUAGUUGGAGUGGUAACGGCACCCCAAGGCUACGAUAGGUAGGGGUCCUGAGAGGGAGAUCCCCCACACUGGUACUGAGACAGGGACCAGACUCCUACGGGAGGCAGCAGUGAGGAAUAUUGGUCAAUGGUCGGAAGACUGAACCAGCCAUGCCGCGUGCAGGAAGAAUGCCUUAUGGGUUGUAAACUGCUUUUAUAUGGGAAGAAUAAGGAGUACGUGUACUUUGAUGACG
rnacentral:rRNA from 1 species